rnacentral:rRNA from 1 species
AUGGAGGAGGAGGAGGCCGCCGGCGUGAGGAAGCGGAAGCGGGGCGGGGAGGCCGCGGUCGUCGUGGUGUCCGGCGAGGAGGCGGAGAUGGAGGAGGGGGAGGAGUACGAGGGCAUCGCGGAGGAGUCGGUGGAGGAGGUGAUGCGGUGGCUGGAGCUGGAGAUCUCCUCCUCGCCGGGGAAGGGCGGCGACGACGGCUUCGUGACCAUCAACGGCAACGAGGAGAGCUGCGGCCCGUCCUUCUCCGCCGCGGCGUCCACCGUGAUGGCCUCCGUGGACACGCGCGCCGGGGCGCCGCCGCCCCCGACGGCCAUCCCCUGGCCGUGGCCGGAGCCCGACGACACCAAGGCGGCGGCGACGGCGUCAGCGGCGGACGGCGACGACGACGCGGACAUGGCCGAGCUCGUCGACGAGGAGUGGCUGGUGGAGCUGCUGACCGGCGGCGGGCCCGCGCUGGAAGUAGAGUAG